rnacentral:rRNA from 1 species
CAAUAGCGUAUAUUUAAGUUGUUGCAGUUAAAAAGCUCGUAGUUGGAUUUCGGAUGGGAUUUGCCGGUCCGUCGUUACGAUGUGCACUGGCCAGUCCUAUCUUGUUGUCGGGGACUAGCUCCUUGGAUUCACUUCCUGGGACUAGGAGCUGACGAGGUUACUUUGAGUAAAUUAGAGUGUUCAAAGCAAGCCUACGCUCUGAAUACAUUAGCAUGGAAUAACACGAUAGGACUCUGGCUUAUCUUGUUGGUCUGUGGGACCAGAGUAAUGAUUAAGAGGGACAGUCGGGGACAUUCGUAUUUCAUUGUCAGAGGUGAAAUUCUUGGAUUUAUGAAAGACGAACUUCUGCGAAAGCAUUUGUCAAGGAUGUUUUCAUUAA